AUUGAACGCUGGCGGCAGGCCUAACACAUGCAAGUCGAGCGGAUGAAGGGAGCUUGCUCCUGGAUUCAGCGGCGGCCGGGAGCGUAAUGCCUAGAAAUCUGCCUGGUAGUGGGGGAUAACGUCCGGCAACGGGCGCUAAUACCGCAUACGUCCUGAGGGCGAUAGUGGGGGAUCUUCGGACUUCACGUUAUCAGAUGAGACUCGGUCGGAUUAGUUAGUUGGUGGGGUAAAGGCCUACCAAGGCGACGAUCCGUAACUGGACUGAGAGGAUGAUCAGGCACACUGGGACUGAGACACGGCCCAGACUCCUACGGGAGGCAGCAGUGGGGAAUAUUGGACAAUGGGCGAAAGCCUGAUCCAGCCAUGCCGCGUGUGUGAAGAAGGUCUUCGGUUUGUAAAGCUCUUUUAGUUGGGAAGAAGGGUAGUGAGUUAAUACCUUGCUGUAUUGACGUUACCAACAGAAUAAGCACCGGCUAACUUCGUG
rnacentral:rRNA from 1 species